rnacentral:misc_RNA from 1 species
AACGCACGAGACCUGCGGACCUGCGGAGGGAUCAUUAAUGAGAAACUGCCCCUCGCGGGUAGAUCUCCCACCCUUUGUAAACUUACCUUUGUUGCUUUGGCAGGCCCGUCUCCGGACCGCCGGCUUCGGCUGGCCAGUGCCUGCCAGAGGAUUCUAAAACUCUGUCUGUCAGUGUUGUCUGAGUCUAUAUACAAUCGUUAAAACUUUCAACAAAGGAUCUCUAGAUCGGAAGAGCACACG